UACGGGGGGGGCAAGCGUUGUUCGGAAUUACUGGGCGUAAAGGGUCUGUAGGUGGCUUGCUAAGUCAGACGUGAAAUCCCACAGCUUAACUGUGGAACUGCUUGGUAUACUGCCAGUCUUGAGCCAGCUAGGGGCUACCGGAACAAAUGGUGGAGCGGUGAAAUGCGUAGAUAUCAUUUGGAACGCCAAUGGUGAAAACAGGUAGCUGGGGCUGUGCUGACGCUGAGACACGAAAGCCAGGGGAGCGAACGGG
rnacentral:rRNA from 1 species